CUGGUGUGUUGGUGGGGCCUGGAAUCCCAGCUAUUUGGGAGGCUGAGGUAGAAGAAUUGCUUGAACCAGGAGGUGGAGGCUGCAGUGAGCUGAGAUUGUGCCACUGUACUCCAGCCUGGAUGACAGAGCGAGACUUUGUCUCAAAAAAAAAAAAAAUUAUUUCCAUCAUCAGGACAAUCCCAAGUAUGUCUCAUUCCCAAAUGACAGGUGAAUGGGCCAUAAACCUAGGUGUCGUCCUCGGCUCAAGCACCUAUAUAGUAGGAAACAGGCCCUAGAAGUUGAGUGAAGUCCAGAGCUGUCAUGGGGCACUCUGCUGUGCCAUUAGCUUCUUCCUCCCUUUGGAACUCAGUUUUCUCAUCUAAAGAAUGGCGGUGUUUGCUCCAGAACCGCUAAUAUCCAGGUUGGGACUUUGUGUUGCUGUGAGCCCAGGUCCCCAGCCUGAAGCCUAGGACAACCCCCUGAGCUUGGGUGGGAGAGAAGGGCAAUGCAGACGUGACUGUCCUGCCAGGCGGGGGCGCCGCCACCAGACGCACGAAAACAACCAAAUAAAUCAGGCCCAGGAACUCCUAAUCCUUCCCGGCUGUGGCUGCUACCGCUCGCCCGGCCUGGGAGGUAGGCACCGCCCGGCCAAGGGCUCAGAGUCGGGCCAGCAGAGCCGAAGUGAUGUCCGGCCAUCCAGGCCAUCCAGGCGUCCUCAGCCCUCGAGGGACACUGGAUUGAUGGCUGAGGCUUUGCUGUGCCACCACAGGAGAUGGGGACACACCAUCCUGGAGCAGGAACUGUGGCUAACCUGAAGUGCAACAAAUGAGCAGAAUUAAUCUCUGUGAUGAUACACAUUAUUGGGUCUCAGGACCCAGCCUCCCAAGGUAAGGCUGGUUAUUUCUGAUCAUUAUGUCGGACCUUGGGGAGGAGGUAGGAACAGCCUCUCUAUUCAUGGAAAUCUUCCAUCAUCCUCUCCAGCUAAUUCACUUUCAGAGACUACAGUAGGCCCUCAGCUUUCUCUCCUUCUUUUCUUUUUUUUUCACCUGUUCUGAACAAAGGCAGUCUCCCCCUUUUCAAAGCUUCACUUCCAGAACUGCCUGUAGUCCCUUGAUUUAUUCACCUCCCACCCCACUCUACAACCCACCUCAACGCUGGUUCUUCCCAUAGUAAUGACUCCAGCCCAGCCCCUCAUUCUGAGUUCCAGCCCUGUGUGCUCCACUGCCUGCUUUCUACUUGACAUCCCCACUUGACCAUCUCAAAGUUAACAUGCCUGCUGUGGUUUGAAUGUGUCCUCCCAAAUGCAUGUGUUGGAAACUUAAUCUCCAAUGCAAUGGUGUUGGGAGAUGGGUCUAAUGGGGGGGGGCAUGUUUCAGUCAUGAGGGUACCACCCUCAUGAAUGGAUUAACGCUGAUUAUAAAAGAGCUUGGGGUCUGGCAUGGUGACUCAUGCCUGUAAUCCCAGCACUUUGGGAGGCUGAGGCGGGCAGAUCACCUGAGGUCAGGAGUUUGAGACAAGCCUGGCUAACAUGGUGAAACCCCGUUUCUCCUAAAAAAAAAAAAAAAAUACAAAAAAUUAGCUGGGCAUGGUGAUGCAUGCCUGUAGUCCCAGCUACUCAGGAGGCUGAGGCAGAAGAAUUGCUUGAAACCGGGAGGCGGAGGUUGCAGUGAGCCAAGAUUGCAUCAUUGCACUCCAGCCUGGUCAACAAGAGUGAAAAUCUGUCUCAAAAAAAAAAAAAAAAGAGCUUGGGUCUUUGAAUUCAAUCUCUUGCUCUCUUUUUCUCUUUCUCUCUCUCUCACCCUUCUGCCUUCUGCCAUAACAUGAUGCAGCAAGAAAGACCUCGCCAGAUGAGGGCCCCACAACCUUGGACUUCCCAGACUCCAGAGCUGCAAGAAAUAAAUCUCUGUUCUUUAUAAAUUACCCAGUCUCGGGCAUUAUUAUAGCAGCACAAAACAGACUAAGAUAAUGCCCAAGGCCAAAUUCAUGACUGUCUCCGUCAAAGCUGGUCCUCUUCCUGUACCUGUAAGCCAAUGACAGGGUCGUCCAUCCAAGUGUGUAAGACAGAAGGCCUGGUGCCAUCCUUGGCUCCUCUCUGAUACCCAGUCCACACCAGGCGCUGAGUGCUGACAAUUCUACCCUCUACACACAUAGAAAUUCCAUUCCUCCUCCACAGCGCCCUCUAGUUAAAGUCUCCUUCACGCACAUCACCUCCUUACUGGUCUCUCGGCAUCCACCCUCACUCUUCAGUGUCCCUGCCCCCACCAAUCCAUUUUCCAUCCACUCAAGAGAAAUCGUGUUGAGGUAGAAAUCUGAUCAUGCCAGUCCCCUGCUCAACA
ensembl:lincRNA